GAUGAACGCUGGCGGUAUGCUUAACACAUGCAAGUCGAACGGACUCUUCGGAGUUAGUGGCGGACGGGUGAGUAACGCGUGAGAAUCUGGCUUUGGGUUCGGGACAACCACUGGAAACGGUGGCUAAUACCGGAUGUGCCGAGAGGUAAAAGAGAAAUUGCCUGAAGAUGAGCUCGCGUCUGAUUAGCUAGUUGGUGAGGUAAAGGCUCACCAAGGCAGCGAUCAGUAGCUGGUCUGAGAGGAUGACCAGCCACACUGGGACUGAGACACGGCCCAGACUCCUACGGGAGGCAGCAGUGGGGAAUUUUACGCAAUGGGCGAAAGCCUGACGGAGCAAUACCGCGUGAGGGAAGAAGGCUCUUGGGUUGUAAACCUCUUUUCUUAGGGAAGAACAAAAUGACGGUACCUAAGGAAUCAGCAUCGGCUAACUCCGUG
rnacentral:rRNA from 1 species